rnacentral:tRNA from 1 species
GAGGGUAUAGCUCAGUGGUAGAGUACAUGCUUAGCAUGCAUGAGGUCCUUGGUUCCAUCGCCAGUACCUCCG